AUUGAACGCUGGCGGCAGGCCUAACACAUGCAAGUCGAGCGGAUGAAGGGAGCUUGCUCCUGGAUUCAGCGGCGGACGGGUGAGUAAUGCCUAGGAAUCUGCCUGGUAGUGGGGGAUAACGUCCGGACACGGGCGCUAAUACCGCAUACGUCCUGAGGGAGAAAGUGGGGGAUCUUCGGACCUCACGCUAUCAGAUGAGCCUAGGUCGGAUUAGCUAGUUGGUGGGGUAAAGGCCUACCAAGGCGACGAUCCGUAACUGGUCUGAGAGGAUGAUCAGUCACACUGAAACUGAGACACGGUCCAGACUUCUGCGGGAGGCAGCAGUGGAGAAUAUUGGACAAGGGGCGAAAGCCUGAUCCAGCCAUGCCGCGUGUGUGAAGAAUGUCUUCGGAUUGUAAAGCACUUUAAGUUGGGAGGAAGGGCAGUAAGUUAAUACCUUGCUGUUUUGACGUUACCAACAGAAUAAGCACCGGCUAACUUCG
rnacentral:rRNA from 1 species